rnacentral:tRNA from 1 species
UCUCUGGCGGUCUAGUGGUUAGAACUCUGCACUUUGACUGUUGAGGGCCAGGGUUCAAUCCCUGGUCAGGGAA